AAUGGAAUGUUUACACAACUUCAGAGGAUGAUGGUGAAACAAAAAAAGUGAAGCACUAGGGUGGACCUAACAAGGAGUUGGAAGAAAACCUAAUGUUCAACUGAUUUUUGAACACCUAAAAAUGUACAGAUAGAUCAAACUGUUACAAAGAGAUUAUGAUAAAGUUAUUUAUUGUGCCUGGAAUGGACAUAUGCCAAAUGCAGAAUCCAGGUGUGUGGAGAACUUUAAUAAAUAGCAGUAUUGCCCAUUUCCA